GGGGGUGUUUCAUCAACUAAAAUCGAUUUCGAUUUUAAAAAUCAAUUUUAAGGCCGAAUCAGUUUUAGCUUAAAACCGAUACAUGUGAGCUGUUUCAUCAAAUCGAUUUUAAGCUAAAAUAGAUUUUUAGGUGUCUGCAAUCAAGGCUAGUCAAUUUAGGGUAAAUCGAUCACAAAAUGGCCUUGCUUAACUACAGUGAGAGUCCUUGAAAAGUUGCAAAAUAAAGAGCUAUGGCAUCUGCAUGUACUGCUAGUUCAUGACAAAUGAACAUUUAUUGUCCAUCUCUUCAAAAUUGAAAAGACUGCAGAGCCUGAAUUACCUGCAACGUUAUGCUUCUUAUGAAACAUCAGCCAGCCUACAGAUAGAAGCUCUGUUUUCCAGCUUUAAGCAAGAGGAACCACAAUGAGAUACAGAUCUUGAUAUCAUGGACUGGUCACUUUUUACAACCAACACUACUUGUAAAAUAAGAUUUACAAAUUAAUUCCUAUAAGCUAUUAAAAAUGCUCUAGUCAAGGUACUAAAAUUUUGCCAUCGAGUUUGAGGUUUUGGGUUUGAUAAAAUGUUAACAUAAAAUAUUUUAAAGGAAGUAAACGUUUUAUUGAUACUUCCAAGAUUUCCUAUAUUUUAAACAGAAUUUUAGAAUCUUGCAGAAGAAAAGAGAAGAAAUAAAAAGCUAUUAUUCUGUCAUGGAGGUUAUUGUUACCAAACUCACAUUACAUAGAUAAUUUUGUUCAUGGCAAUAAAUCUUAAAAUAUCAAAUUGGAAUUUCUUAAUUAGCAAUUCAUCUGAGCAGCAGUUUGAUGACCUAUUUGGAACUCUUCCUAGAGGCACUUCUUGCAUGCCUAUGUAUCGAUAAUUACCUGUUGGUGCUUAAAGUGCUAUUGUAGCAAUUGCACAAAAACAAAUACAAAAUAAACAACAGAACAUUGUGAUUGAGUGAAAACAUUUUUCCUGCA